rnacentral:pre_miRNA from 7 species
CUGUAAGAGUAAGGGGUGGUGGUGAAAGACCCCCGAAGGGAGACCCUCACUCAAGUCUCGGGACAGCCGCGGACCCAAGAAGACACUGAGACCG